rnacentral:rRNA from 1 species
AGUGAACGCUGGCGGUAGGCCUAACACAUGCAAGUCGAACGGCAGCACAGUAAGAGCUUGCUCUUACGGGUGGCGAGUGGCGGACGGGUGAGGAAUACAUCGGAAUCUACUUUUUCGUGGGGGAUAACGUAGGGAAACUUACGCUAAUACCGCAUACGACCUACGGGUGAAAGCAGGGGAUCUUCGGACCUUGCGCGAUUGAAUGAGCCGAUGUCGGAUUAGCUAGUUGGCGGGGUAAAGGCCCACCAAGGCGACGAUCCGUAGCUGGUCUGAGAGGAUGAUCAGCCACACUGGAACUGAGACACGGUCCAGACUCCUACGGGAGGCAGCAGUGGGGAAUAUUGGACAAAGGGCGCAAGCCUGACCCAGCCAUACCGCGUGGGUGAAGAAGGCCUUCGGGUUGUAAAGCCCUUUUGUUGGGAAAGAACAGCAGCAGGUUAAUACCCCGCUGUUCUGACGGUACCCAAAGAAUAAGCACCGGCUAACUUCGUG